rnacentral:rRNA from 1 species
AGUGAACGCUGGCGGCAGGCCUAACACAUGCAAGUCGAACGGCAGCACAGCAGUAGCAAUACUGUGGGUGGCGAGUGGCGGACGGGUGAGGAACACAUCGGAAUCUACCUUGUCGUGGGGAUAACGUAGGGAAACUUACGCUAAUACCGCAUACGAACUACGGUUGAAAGCGGCGGACCGCAAGGCGUCGCGCGAUUGGAUGAGCCGAUGUCCGAUUAGCUAGUUGGCGGGGUAAAGGCCCACCAAGGCGACGAUCGGUAGCUGGUCUGAGAGGAUGAUCAGCCACACUGGAACUGAGACACGGUCCAGACCCCUACGGGAGGCAGCAGUGGGGAAUAUUGGACAAUGGGCGCAAGCCUGAUCCAGCCAUGCCGCGUGUGUGAAGAAGGCCU